UACGAAGGGGGCUAGCGUUGCUCGGAAUUACUGGGCGUAAAGGGUGCGUAGGCGGGUCUUUAAGUCAGGGGUGAAAUCCUGGAGCUCAACUCCAGAACUGCCUUUGAUACUGAGGAUCUUGAGUUCGGGAGAGGUGAGUGGAACUGCGAGUGUAGAGGUGAAAUUCGUAGAUAUUCGCAAGAACACCAGUGGCGAAGGCGGCUCACUGGCCCGGUACUGACGCUGGAGGUGCGAAAGCGUGGGGAGCAAACAGGG
rnacentral:rRNA from 1 species